GUUUAUUUGUUAUCUCCUACUCGUGGAAACCCUAUCUCUUCUCCUUCAAAGAAGAAUUUUUCUUUUAGCCCUAACCUUCAAUACAUCUCCAUCUUGCUCAGGUAAAUUGGGUGACCGACAUUUUCAGGCUUGAGUUUGGAAGGUAUCGCUAAGGGCCGCCCUUGUGACAACAGAUUUCCGUAAUCGUUGUUGAGUGAAAAAUUAAAAACAAAAGAGAUAAAGAUUUGAAGAUCGGAUAACUUGCUUAUGAAGAAUGUGGAAGCCAGUAUAAGCAACAAAACAUAUUAGAGAAAACAUUGAAAGUGGAAGGAAACUUAUUUUUUGCUAGGAGGUUUUUAAAGAUGUUUCCAUUAUAUAUAUGCUACAAUUACAUUUUUAUUCGUCUUAAGAGUGAACACAUAAAAUAUCAUACUUUUAAUUUGAUAUAUUUUUGGCAGUGAUGAUUUGAUUUUGUUUAUUUUACUAUGAAAU